AACUAUUACAGUUUUCUUUUUGAAUUUAUCUGGCAGGUUCUCUGACUUCAGUUGGAAAACCCAA